rnacentral:rRNA from 1 species
CAAGUCGAGCGAGAAGGCCUUCGGGCUGAGUACAGCGGCGGACGGGUGAGUAACGCGUAGGAAUCUACCUGGUAGUGGGGGACAACAUGGGGAAACUCAUGCUAAUACCGCAUACGCCCUAUGGGGGAAAGCGGGGGACCUUCGGGCCUCGCGCUAUCAGAUGAGCCUGCGUAGGAUUAGCUUGUUGGUGAGGUAAAGGCUCACCAAGGCGACGAUCCUUAGCUGGUCUGAGAGGAUGAUCAGCCACACUGGAACUGAGACACGGUCCAGACUCCUACGGGAGGCAGCAGUGGGGAAUAUUGCGCAAUGGGCGAAAGCCUGACGCAGCCAUGCCGCGUGUGUGAAGAAGGCCUUAGGGUUGUAAAGCACUUUCAAUUGGGAAGAAAGGUUGCGUGUUAAUAGCACGUAGCUGUGACGUUACCUUUAGAAGAAGCACCGGCUAACUCCGUGCCAGCAGCCGCGGUAAUACGGAGGGUGCGAGCGUUAAUCGGAAUUACUGGGCGUAAAGCGCGCGUAGGCGGUUUGUUAAGUCGGAUGUGAAAGCCCCGGGCUCAACCUGGGAAUUGCCUUCGAUACUGGCCGACUAGAGUACGAGAGAGGGAGGUAGAAUUCCACGUGUAGCGGUGAAAUGCGUAGAUAUGUGGAGGAAUACCGGUGGCGAAGGCGGCCUCCUGGCUCGAUACUGACGCUGAGGUGCGAAAGCGUGGGUAGCAAACAGGAUUAGAUACCCUGGUAGUCCACGCCGUAAACGAUGUCUACUAGCCGUUGGGAGACUUGAUUUCUUAGUGGCGCAGCU